GUUUUAUCCGGGGUUUCCGCUUUUGCGUCUUCGUCAUUUUUCUCUUGCUACCACCAUUUGAGAAGUGCCUUUCGCCUCCUGCCAUGAUUCUGAGGUCCUCCCAAGCUAUGGGGAACUGUAAAUACAAUUAAACCUCUUUUUCUUCCCAGUCUCCGGUAUGUCUUUAUCAGCAGCAUGUAAAGGGACUAAUCCAGAGAGCCCCACCUGGAAGACUCUAGGUUCUCAUCUUCAUGCCCCGAUGUAAGGAGAGUGGUCCUUCUGUACAUCAGGAGUCUGAAAUGCAUCUCACUGGGCUAAAAUCAAGAUCUGUGGCACAUGGAACCACAUGUGGGACAAGAGACUAAUAAAGAUGUGACCUACUCACAGAGGCUUCAGGUGUUUUGCGAAGUACAUUGGCUUUUAUUCAACGUGCAGUGGGACUCCAACUAAAGUGUUUCAGGAAGGCACGGCCCUUUUGUGAUCUCCUGGUUCUUGUAAAUCUCACUGUGGCUGAUGAGGUCUGGAUAGAUAAUCAUGAUGGUGGCUGAAGAGAGACAAUGGUGGUGCUAGGUUACCAGUGGCGUGGAGCUCAGAGCUAAUGCAGAGCAGCUGGAGCAGUGCUGAGUUUCAAAACGUGUUGGAAAAAAUAUUAUAUGAAUGAUGCUAUUUUUUUCACUGAAUCACAUCAAGAAGCACAUGAUGUUAAGCUGUCUCAUCAUUGGUGGUGUUAACUUGGAUCGCUUGAUUAAGGUCUUUUGAAGAGCAGAAAUUUUAGAUUUUAAUAAAAUCCAAAUUUGCAAUGUUUUUGUUUUUCAUGGCUCAUGUUGUAUCUAAAAAUUCAUCAAUAAAUGCAAGGGUCAAGGAAACUUAUUUUGAACUAUUUACAGCCUUUAAUAAUUGAGUAUGUUAUACGCCUGUGAACAAAAUUUGGAGCAUAUUUGUCUCUCUCUCUGCCUGGCUUCUCCAGAAUUUUGAAACUAGUUGUGAGUAUUCUUACCUUAUGGCAGUACAGUUGUUUGCAUCAAUGCAAUAUGAAUCCAAUUUCCUUUGCAACAGGAUGCAAUUGGAGAAACUGCUGGUUUAUCAAGGCUUUGACUGGAAGGUGUAUGCUUCCCUUUAAGCGGUCAAGCUUGACUUGCAGGGCCAAUAAAAGCCCCUUGGGAAAACUGGCCUCAUAACCUUGUCUAUGCAGUCACUGUACAGGGUUUCUGAGCUAUGGUAAGUAAAGAAUGUUACUUUCUGACAGGCCCUGGAGCCCCAUGUUUAUCUGCUGACCUUAAGAAGAGAGGAUUACCCAUCUCUCAGGAGGACUCAAUUCCACAGCUUCACCUUAGCAUUUGGCUUAUGAUGAGGAGCCCAUGCAACCCCCUUGAGACACAUAUUUGUUCCAAACUCAAUUCCAAGCUUCAGGUCAAAGCCAUAGGAAAGAAAACUGGAUCUGGAAGAUUCAGAGGCAGAUGAUAACUGAAGUUAAAAGGCACACUGCAGGUGAGCAUGACUGAUUCCUGCCAAUUAAGCCAAGAUUCCUGUUUCAUGGAUAAAGACCAUACUAGCAUCUAUAGCAUAAAUGAGGUCUAGGGCUACUAUGGACAGGGGAGAUAGGGCAUAUGAGACUAAGCAUGGAUACUCCCAUCCCCUAUGCCCCUCUAUUAAUAUGGGUAAAGGCACUGUGACACCCUUGGGUGGCACCUUUUCACAGUAACCAGGACUCGGGGAUACAAGGACAAGGAAAGAAAGGGCAACACCUUGCUUUCUCUCCCUCACGUACCCUUGGUAUUUGCUAGAAAGAGAAGAGAACUGGGGAUGCCUCGCUCCCCUCUUUCUCAAUGUGUAGCCACUUAUUUUCAGUCUGUACCUUUUUCAAAUACAUCCUGAACCUCUUGGACUCCUUUGAAAAAAAAUCCUUUUUUCUUCUUUCUUCUCAUCUGUCCUCUCUUCACUGAUAGGUAAUUGUGUCUCCGUACUAUCAGAUACUCCCUUCGGAUGCAUCCUCCAAACCAGGAAAAGUUAAUUUUCCCAACCUUAAACUGGUUGGCUUAGGAUUGGGCUCAGGGGAAGGGAAUCCAGAAGCCUGACAUGCUGGCAAAAGGGUAAAAGGUUUUUUACCAGUUGGGCCUUUGGCCCCCCUCUCCCUGUACAAACUGGUAAAAGGCCUCACAAUUUUUGAGCUGUUCUCUCUCCUGCCUUUUUUUCAUUUUGAUGUAUGUUUUCUAAUAAUCUGAGUUGUCUCUUCUCACCUUCAGGCCAUCAAACUCCAAAUGGUCAUGCAACUGGGGUCUCAGACAAUGGCCCCUUUUGCUGGGAACCCUUAGUUUGGCCUCUGAGGGAGAUUGGACUGCCAUUUUCCCAAAACAGCACCCCUUGUCAACAGGAAGCAGUUAAAAUCAGUGUUCAUCCUUAUCCUUAUCCUUAUUCUAAUGGCAGUUAGAUGUACUUCUUUAGAGGGGAAAAUGAUAGACACAGGAGGCAGCCAAGGGACCCAGGUGAAACCCUGCCUUCAAGCCUAAAACAGCAUGAAGGCUGAAAAAUUGGACUGCAGGUUCCGGAUUAAGCCUGCCCUUUGCCAACUGAUUUUUUUCUCAAUAAUGCCCACCUACACACUGGGAGGACGGGGUGGAGCCUUGGGAAGUUCGCAUCAUUUGCAGCGAGAAGGAGCCUGGCCUCUCCUGUUACUGUAUGGUAACUUGAGAUUCAGUCAGUGAGAUGGGGGCCUGUGAAUAGGAACCCCUCUUGCUUUGCUGAGAGGUGUUUUUUUUUUUUUUCCUAGUAGCUCAGUAAAUUCCAUUCUCCCUCACCCUUCAAAGUUUCUGCAUGCCUAACUUUUCCUGGUCGUAUGACAAGAACCCAUUUUUUUCUACAAUACCAGAAGUUCAUUCCUUUAUAUGACUGAAUAAUAUUCCAUUGUAUGUAUAUAUAAUUGUUUAUUCUUCCAUUGAUGGAUACGGCUGAUUUCCACCUUUUAGCCAUUGUAAACUGUGCUGCAAUGAACAUUGCUGUAUCUGGGUCUCUGUAUUUUAUUAUUUGGGGUAUAUAACUAGGAGUAGAAUUGAUAGGCUAUAUGGUAAGUAUAUGUUUACAUUUUGGAAAAACUGCCAAAUUGUUUCCACAGUUGUUGAACCAUUUUGUAUUCCAACCAGCAACACAAGAGGAUUCCAAUUUCUAUGCAUCCUCAUGAAUACUUGUUAUUUCCUGUUUUAUCAUAUUCAUCUUAAUGUGCUAAGUGAUGUCUCCUUGUGCUUUUGUUUUGCAUUGCUCUAGUGCAAUAAUAAAUGGAACUAAUGAUGUUUAGAAUCUUUCCAUAUGCUUAUCACCAUUUUCGUAUGCUCAUCUCCAAAAGGGGUGGCAUAUCUUUUUUGGACAAAUAUCUGUUCAAGUCUUUUGCUUGUAUUAUAUGUGUUGUUUUUAUUUUUGUCACUGAGUUUGUAGUCCUUUAUAUAUUCUGAAUAUUUAAUCCUUAUAAGAUAUGUGAUUUGAAAAUAUUUUCUUCUAUUUUAUAGGUUUCCCUUUUACCGUCUUGAUAAUGUACUUUGAUGCACACACUUUUUUUUAGAUUUCAUUGAAGUACAACUUACCUAUUUUUUCUUACAUUGUUCAUGCUUUUUGGUCUCAUAUCUAAUAAUCCAUUGUCAAAUACAAGGUCCUGAAGAUUUAUUCUAUUUUUAUUUUUCAUUUUC
rnacentral:lncRNA from 10 species